rnacentral:rRNA from 1 species
GUGGGGAAUAUUGGUCAAUGGAGGCAACUCUGAACCAGCCAUGCCGCGUGCAGGAAGACGGUCCUAUGGAUUGUAAACUGCUUUUAUUUAGGAAUAAACCCCCGGUCGUGCACCGGGGCUGAAUGUACUAAAAGAAUAAGCACCGGCUAACUCCGUGCCAGCAGCCGCGGUAAUACGGAGGGUGCAAGCGUUAUCCGGAAUCAUUGGGUUUAAAGGGUCCGCAGGCGGGUAAAUAAGUCAGAGGUGAAAUCCGGCAGCUCAACUGUCGCACUGCCUUUGAUACUGUUUAUCUUGAAUUUUAGUGGAGUGGGCGGAAUAUGUCAUGUAGCGGUGAAAUGCUUAGAUAUGACGUGGAACACCGAUAGCGAAGGCAGCUCACUAACUAUGAAUUGACGCUCAUGGACGAAAGCGUGGGUAGCAAACAGGAUUAGAUACCCGAGUAGUCC